rnacentral:sRNA from 1 species
AAACAGUCCGCAUCGAUGGACUUGUUGAUUCGCCAGAUUUCUACAGGAUCGGCUGGCGGUGAGCCCCGUGCGCUCAAACCCGAGGCAUGACGUCAGGGCGCCGAUCGCGGGAGACCGUUGGCCUUUCCUC